rnacentral:rRNA from 1 species
UACGUAGGGUGCAAGCGUUACUCGGAAUUACUGGGCGUAAAGCGUGCGCAGGCGGCUUUGCAAGUCAGAUGUGAAAUCCCCGGGCUCAACCUGGGAACUGCAUUUGUGACUGCAUGGCUAGAGUGCGGCAGAGGGGGAUGGAAUUCCGCGUGUAGCAGUGAAAUGCGUAGAUAUGCGGAGGAACACCGAUGGCGAAGGCAAUCCCCUGGGCCUGCACUGACGCUCAGGCACGAAAGCGUGGGGAGCAAACAGG